AAAGCAUUACGACGGCCUAACCAUGCAAGUCGAGCGGAUGAGUGGAGGUUGCUCCAUGAUUCAGCGGCGGACGGGUGAGUAAUGCCUAGGAAUCUGCCUGGUAGUGGGGGACAACGUUUCGAAAGGAACGCUAAUACCGCAUACGUCCUACGGGAGAAAGCAGGGGACCUACGGGCCUUGCGCUAUCAGAUGAGCCUAGGUCGGAUUUGCUAGUAGGUGAGGUAAUGGCUCACCUAGGCGACGAUCCGUAACUGGUCUGAGAGGAUGAUCAGUCACACUGGAACUGAGACACGGUCCAGACUCCUACGGGAGGCAGCAGUGGGGAAUAUUGGACAAUGGGCGAAAGCCUGAUCCAGCCAUGCCGCGUGUGUGAAGAAGGUCUUCGGAUUGUAAAGCACUUUAAGUUGGGAGGAAGGGCAGUAAGUUAAUACCUUGCUGUUUUGACGUUACCAACAGAAUAAGCACCGGCU
rnacentral:rRNA from 1 species